AUUGAACGCUGGCGGCAGGCUUAACACAUGCAAGUCGAGCGAGCGGCGGACGGGUGAGUAAUGUCUGGGAAACUGCCUGAUGGAGGGGGAUAACUACUGGAAACGGUAGCUAAUACCGCAUACCAUCGGAUGUGCCCAUAUGGGAUUAGCUAGUAGGUGGGGUAAAGGCUCACCUAGGCGACGAUCCGUAGCUGGUAGGAGAGGAUGACCAGCCAGACUGGAACUGAGACCCGGUCCAGAGUCCCACGGGAGGCAGCAGUGGGGAAUAGUGAACAAUGGGCGCGAGACUGAGGAAGACAGGCCGAGUGUAUGAAGAAGGACUUCGGGUUGUAAAGUACUUUUAGCCGGGAGGCGUUACUCGCAGAAGAAGCACCGGCUAACUCCGUGCCAGCAGCCGCGGUAAUAC
rnacentral:rRNA from 1 species